GGAAAAGUGGGCGGAGCCAGGGGUGUCAUGGCGGCCUCCACAGUCCCCACGGACAUCCCUCCAUCCUGGCACUCUCCAUUUCUAUGCAGGGAUGCAUGAAGCACCUGAUGGUGUCUCCUGUUCAAGCUCUGCUGGGAAACCUGGCUUGGACUUGGACAAUAAGUAUCCUGGUCCUGCCUCUUAGGGUUUGGGUUUGGAUCCUGGAAGGCUUGUGCGAUGGAGACUCAACCGUCUUCUGAUAAUCCGGAUGUAGUCAAUACGGACCAGCCAUCAGGUGUGGAACCAGAUGGAGAUGAGGGACCAUUUCCAACAGUGCCAAUGCAGAUUGGAGAUCCAGGAAAUGAAGAGGGUUCGGCUGAGAUGUUUUCUGGAGCCGACCUCUCAGGAGGAGAGCCCCAAUUGGAAGAUGUUAAGCAGCAUUCAGAGCAAGGACCA